AUUGAACGCUGGCGGCAGGCCUAACACAUGCAAGUCGAACGAGUGGCGGACGGGUGAGUAAUGUCUGGGAAACUGCCUGAUGGAGGGGGAUAACUACUGGAAACGGUAGCUAAUACCGCAUACCAUCGGAUGUGCCCAGAUGGGAUUAGCUAGGAGGGGGGGUAAAGGCUCACCUAGGCGACGAUCACUAGCUGGUCUGAGAGGAUGACCAGCAAUACUGGAACUGAGACACGGUCCAGACUCCGACGGGAGGCAGCAGUGGGGAAUAGUGCACGAUGGGCGCAAGCCGGAUGCAGCCAUGCCGCGUGUAUGAAGAAGGCCUUCGGGUUGUAAAGUACUUUCAGCGGGGAGGCGGUACCCGCAGAAGAAGCACCGGCUAACUCCGUGCCAGCAGCCGCGGUAAUUC
rnacentral:rRNA from 1 species